rnacentral:rRNA from 1 species
UACGUAGGGGGCGAGCGUUGUCCGGAUUUAUUGGGCGUAAAGAGCUCGUAGGCGGUUGUGGAAGUCGGAUGUGAAAGACCGGGGCUUAACUCCGGGACGUCAUUCGAUACUCCUCUGACUAGAGUCCGGUAGGGGAAGGUGGAAUACCUAGUGUAGCGGUGAAAUGCACAGAUAUUAGGUGGAACACCGGUGGCGAAGGCGGCCUUCUGGGCCGGUACUGACGCUGAGGAGCGAAAGCUAGGGGAGCGAACAGG